UUCAAAUUCCUCUUUUUUUUUCUUUUUUUUGCCUGCCUAAUAAUACAAAAUCUUGACUUGCCAGAGUUCAUGCUCCUUCCUAUUUCCUCCAGCGGAUUUACCGUCCAAUGGUGAAAGGGCAUCUUUUCGCCUCUCCCUGCCUCUCUUAUUCUGUUGUUUAGUCAUUGGGGUAGUUCUUGGUCUGCUUACUGGGUUUUCCAAUUUGGAGUACACAUUUAAUUUGAGCCUCUAUUAUGGUGUGUUUAAAACGUUUCCACGCAGCUUGCAGGCAUUUCACUCCUUUUCAUUUCCAUGUAACUAGCUUCCUCGUUCUUGUGUAUUCUCCUUUUCUGAGUUAUUGCUCCUGUGGUGGGCUUCUUUGGUAUUCCUCCCUCCCUGUCCCCAAAGAAUGGUAAAUGUAAGUACAUGUGGUUCAUCUCUGGUGACCUCUUGGACCAGAUCCUGGGCUCCACUUAGGAUCACACCAAGAAUUGCAUCUCCUCUCGGGGGUUCCAGGACCAGCUGCUCCAAGAAGUUGUCCAGAACAAGCCAGGGUGUGUGUGUGAAGAAUUGAUGAAGAGGGCUAUGGUAAAUGGCACAGAUUGUAAGAGCUGGAGGGACACCGCACCCCAAGUCACUUUGGUCAAGGGAAGUUUGGUAAGGGAGAAAUAUAGGUAAAAACUUACAAAUAUGAGCUCUGUAUCUCUACCUUUGGCCAUGGUUUACCUGGAGCGUGAGGACUUUCCAGGGGUAUUAUUCUGGGCAUUAGGAAUCUGCUUCCCACUCCUGUUUUAUGAGGUAAGGACGCUGGAGCCACAUCUAAGCAGGGUAAUAUCAGAACUCGCAGCCAGAAGUCUGGCUCUGCCUCUCCUGGCUUAUCUGUGGCCAGCAGGGAGGGCUGCGGGGGGAGAAACGCCCUCAGGCCUUUGCUAGCAGAAAGUAACCGUUUGUCCCCAGGGGAGGGUUUGGAGAGUCCGCUGCUUUGCCAGAGUCGGCUCUUAUCCCAGGGAGUUUACGGAGACUCACCAGGCUGACCCUGUCCAGGGAGAGGACGGUGGCUCAGGAUAACGUCACCAUCGGCUUUUCGAGGUUUGCUGUGCAUAGGGGAAGAGGCACCCUGUUGUGGUUUGCAAGCAGGUGUUGGGCCUGAUCAGGGCAGGACUGAGCUGCUGCACGUGGCUCAUGACUGCCCCUGUGCUGGACGCUGAGGCGAGGAGAGAAACAUGCGAGGCUCAAAUGAGGCUCCUGGCCUUGUGUUUGAGACAGUGAAAAUCAUGGUACAAGUCGUGUCAGAAGCGCCAGUGGUUACAGGCCCUGUGGGGCACCUCUGCAGCCACUGCCUAUUGCUAAGGUGUUUGCCAGAGGGUCCGGGGGCAUUGUGGGACCCCUCCCAGGAAUGGAAAGAAAGCGACUGGGAGUGGUGGGUGCUGCCACCAGGUGCCCGGAAGCCCCAGGUCUGUCCGAUAGAGAAGUUGAAACUGCGGCUACUGCCCUAGUCGCCGUUUCUGGCCGAGUUCGGAAAUCUUGUGGGACCGGGUGCAAAUUUCAUGUCUGCAGUUUUCAAAAAGUGACGGGUGUUGAGCGGAGCGAGGGAUGUGAAAGCUGCUGCUAUCACCCAGUGACUAGUGGUUGGUGGAAAGAGUCCAUGGGGCGCUGAAGUCUAUGCGGACGCUGUAUGUUACAGCUAGUUGCUCCCUGAUUUGUUAUUUGGGUACAGGAGUAUCCCCUGCAGAGCCUAUGGGAUUUACCCCCUUUUAUCUCUGUGAUGCUGACAGGCCAGCUCAGGUCAAUAGGCUGAUUCAGUAGCGGGUGACCACCAAAGAAACACUAAGUGAACUAAUGUUCAUUGAGUGCAAAGGGAACGUGAAUGCUCUUGUCUUCACGUAUCUAUAACCUGUUGAUUGGUAUCCAUUAGAUUAUGUAUAUCCCUGUACUUAAUUAACCCCACAUCCAAAGUGUGUGUUAGCACUGAGAUGUGAAUGUACUUUACUUCAUGAAAACUAAGGAAGGCUCGUUGUGGGCUACUCCAUUACCACGCACACAGCGUCUAGCCCGGUAGUGACGUUCACCCACCAAACGCGACUGGAGCCUUGGAAAUGUAAAGGAAGAAGGUUGCUAACUUCAAAGCAAGGGCCACUGAGUUCUCAAUGGGAAUUCACAGACACGGUCUGCAUUCCUCAUGUACCGCUGGGCAAGGAAGGCCCACGUGGGAACAGAACCGAGCUUUCUGGGCAAAGGCAUAAAAGAUUCCUUGAAACUGUUUGGCCAUUCACAGGGAAGCCUUCCACAUGGAAGAGACAGAUCCCCAAAGUUACUCUGGGUAUCCUUGGAAGACUCAUGGAAAAUCCCAGAUCACCACAUCUCUGCUAUCGCUUUGGACUUACAAACCUGGGUUCAUCUGUUACUCUGUUUUACCUGCUUUAACCUCUCAAGAGCUCAUUCCCUUCGCUGAGCUAAUAAACCCUUAACUUGUUUACUAGAGAAAUCGGCUGCCAGCACAACCUCUGUGUGAGAUCAAGAGUAUCCGUUGGGGUGAGCGACUGGCCCUCUAGGGUUGGGAGUGACCUGAUGUGAUGUGAUGUUAGUAUAGCGACCAGGGUCACCAAGUCCUGUGUGUCUGGGUGGAAAGAUGUCCGUACGGGGACUGUCCAUGGCUCCAUGGGAAUGGAGUGAUCCAGGAGCGCACAGUUGUCACUGGCUUGGUGAAAUCUAAUGACAGAACCACACCCCCAUUUUGAGGGGCCUGCCCUGUUUUCUGACAGCCUGACGGGAGACUGCCCCGCUGUCUGGAGUGACUCAUGGCUGCGAGUGUGAAUCUCCUUCACGAGACAAAGGCGAGGAGACCCCUAGGUUUCAUGGGAGGCUCGUUGGAAGGCAGCACGGAGGAGACAGGACGGCCUGUGGGGAGCCGGUCCUGCCUUUUCAAGAGAACGUGAAGGCUGUGAAGGACCUGGUGCAUCAGAACCUGCUAGGAGCCAGGCGUCCCGGAGAGCACGGCCUACUAGGCAGGCUGCAGCCAGGCCUCGUUGAUUCCAGUGAGGAAGAACGAGAUGCAGGAUUGCUGGGAGAGACCUUUUGAGGCGACAGAGCAAGUGAACGAGGUCACAUGAUGCAAGGACACCCCACCGCAGGGCAGCUGUGCAAACAGAGUAUGGCAGUGGGAUGGGAGGCAGAUGGGGGAGAACCUGACUUGUUGGGCUGGUGAGGGAUCUGGCCAGCGGGGGUAAGGAGGAGACUGCCCGGAGAUCUGGGAGGGUUUGCACCCAACCCAAAAGCAGGCGAUGUGGGCCCCCUUGCUAUAGCACAGGGAGGGCCUUUCCGAGCGGCCAGCUGUAACUAACCAAGCAGUGUGCUCCAGGGAGCAGGGCAAGCCGGACUAUAAGGGCUGAGGCCUUUUUCUGCAGUAAGCAGCAGCAGGCAGCCACGAGCUAAGAGGCAGAAAGUCACAUCCUCACAUUCCCUCUAAAUUCCAUUAAACCAAUGUCAUAUGGUGCUGCACAGAAGGCUCCUGUGCUAACGGUGCCCAGCAUCACCAGCGAAAGAAACUGAGCUUAAGAUGCUUGAAGAAAACUUUGUUUGACAGCGUCUGUCUGGCAAGGACCCACCCCGCCAACAGCCAGGAUUGUGAAAUCUCUACUUCUAUUCUUUUGCUGUACUGCCUCCCACUUCUCUAGUGUUUAACUUAGAGUUUCGGUCUGGUUCUUUGAUAGUUUCUGUCUGUGAUGUAACUAAUUUUGCAAGAUUUAAAUCAGCUACAGUGCUGGGGUCUGACUGGGUAAGGACUGUUUGGUAAGGGCUGGGCUGGGGGAAAAACGCUGCUUUGUAGCACUUCAGUUCCCGACUGGUUCCGGCCCAGCUAAGCAGGUCUCAAGUUUCACGGUAUACACUGGGGUCCAAAGGGAAGUUCUCUGGAACAACGCCAGGGUAUGGUGAGUGGCGUACGCGCCGAGGGCACAUUCUGUGUUGGUAAGUGGUGAUGAACAGAGGUUAAUGAUAUUACGGUGUGAGGCCCUUUCACUGCCAAAGGGCCCCACAAACCUGCAGAUUACCCUGAGCCCUAGGAACACGGUAAGGGUAGUGUCUUUCACCCAAAGCCCAGGUCAGCGGUGCCUCAAUUAACUGGGUCACGCCUUGAGCCCACAGAAGGCUACAGGAGUGUGUGGGUAACCGAUGUGUUGGCCAAUGCGGGCAGCAUAAGGUGUUUUGGACUGAACAGAUAAGAGUCUAAUACAAUAAGUAACAGCAGAGUACUGGUGCCUUCUGACAGAAAGGAUCGCCACCUUCCUGGCAGAAUGACCUCCCAGGAACAACAAGAGAGAACGAGAAGGAAGAAAAGGGACCAGGAGGGCUGGGGGCUAGUUGAGGAACCCUUCCCCCCCCCCCCCCCCCCGCUAAAUAGGUAGUGGGACGAGGCCUGUGUCCAAGGGGAGGGAUGGUUCUGCGAGACAGCAGGAUCGGGCCCUGACAAGCAGGCAGGCAAUGGAGAGAGACCGGAAAACAUGCUGGGCAUAGUGACAGGAGUAAGAGGAGCACAUGCUGGGACCACACAGACUCCUGGGAUGAUAGUGGAAUGGUGAUAUCUGGCUUGAUGCAGGUGUCACUGGGAGAUAAGUGAUUCAAGGAAAGAGAGUGAGAAGUUAACGGCGGGUGAGGGGCGGGGGGCGGAUUAAGCAGUUGAACUUUGUGGAAAUGUUAAAGCAGGAACAUGUUAUAGGAAGAGAAUUCUUGAUUUCUUUGCAGCCAUUCUGAAGGAAAAUGGGCCCUUUUCCCAAGGAAAUGGUCUGUAAACAAUCCAUUGUGAAUAACUACUGCAGGCAGAGAGACAAUCUGAUUUCAAUCAUUUGACUAUGGACAGUUUAGUCGCAAUCACUAAAAGAACAUAAGGGGUUUCCAUUGAAACUUAACCACCUGCAAAUGUCUAAAAGGGAACGUAAUCUGUGCACAGCUGUGUAACAGUAACUGUUAAGAACAAGAGUGUGUGUAUAAAAGGACCUAAACCGACACUCCUGCUUUGUAAAGCCUGUUCUGUAGGUUCAGGAUGAAAUUGGUUUUGUUUGUUUUAAACAAUGCCACUAAAAAUCCAUUUGAUCUCUCAUUCAAAGCUGCAAAACUGACAGACACUUUUGCCACUUAUUACCUUUGGGUACUUCUAUACUUUAUAAAGUUUAAUAUUGUUUUAAAUAAGGACCAGAGCAUGUGGCAGGGGCAGCCAGAACCAGGAGAAUGGGGAGAGAUUCUGGAUCCUUUUUUCUUGUUUGGUAACAAAACAGCAACUAAAAGCUGCGGUAAUGACAGGAAGAGUGCCUCUCUGGAGCACCAGUGGGGGUGAGGUGCACACCGCAGCAAAGUCAGGAACACUGAGCCUUAAGGUGGCUGUGAGUAAUCAGACUGUCCCUUUGCUAAGGGUCCAUGAAAACGCCGUGAGCACAAAGGAAACAGUUACACCGUCUGUAAAAAUGGCUACGGCUACUAUAAUGUUAUACAAGUGCAGCCAGGGAAGGAACGUGCAUUUUCCCACGACACGUGCAGUGCAUACCGGAGAAGCGGCAAAAGACAACAAGGCAGUGGAAAAAGGCCAGACCAACAGCAUACCGGGGGGGUGGGGGGGGCGCGGGGGGAGCGUUAAAGCAGCAAAACAAGCCAUGAUUAAAAUGGUUCCACUCCUCACAAUUGGAAGCAUGGAAGGCAGCUAGAAAUUGUUCAUUUUAGUUUUCAGAAUCUCCAAGGAAAAGCAAGAGCCAGUGGUGUGUGUGCUGACGGAAAUGACCGAGCUGACAGGGCAAGAAGAGAACUGCCCUCGAUGGCAGCACACGGGGGUGCGGGUAAGGGAGGCACCUGGCCAGCAUUCAAGCAGGGCUCAGGUUCUGACCCUUCAGGAAAGGGAGGUGGGAAACACGUCAGUCCUGAUACUGAGGGACAGGUUAACCAUCCCUUAAAAACGCACCCGCUCAACCCCAUGGAGAGAAUUAUAUUAAAGCCGAGGCUAAGAUUCCAAGAGGGUAUUGAGCACACGGGCCUCAGAGAGGGAUUGUCUAAAGAAACAGCGCAGUAUAGCAAGACACCUAUACACACCCACUUGUCAUGUUGUUGUUAAGGUUAAACACUGGAUAAACGUCAUGUUAACGAGUAACCCGGGAACAAUGUAUGAUGUGUACAAGUUUGGGAGAAACCUGUAAGCACGCUAGAAACGGUUACUGGGAACACACCGCAUGUUAAGAAGCUUUACGCUACUAAUGCUGCUCAGCUAUUACCUGUGACUACGUACAGAAAGCUUGGCACAGCACAGAAACAUUACAAACCUGUCCUGCUGUAUAGAAAGGGAACCUGA